UCCAGGCGCCUGGAGGCUUGGCGGUUGCAUCCAGCCGACCGGAUCCGCGUACCAGCCGCUCCGCGUCGGGUCUGGCGGUUCUGUUUGGCGCGGAGAAGCUGUACGAGCCCAGUGUGCACGCUGAGAGGAGUCCCGAGGCCUGCUGCCCGCUUGACGCUACCUUCCUCAGGAUUUCGGCCGCUUUGCGGGAUGGCGGAACCGUUGGCUUCCCCAAGUUAGUAGCUGCGGGGCGUUUGGAGUUCGGGGCAACUUAACCUGUUCGGGCCAGAACGGAACUAGGGAAGGACUAGGGUGAGGAGUUCAGUUUCUGUUGCUAAGAGGAAGACUAAAGAAUGAUUAUUGAACAGCCAGAGGCCACGAUCAAGAUCAACAGACAAGAGAUCAAGGUACAGAAGUCUUCAAUGCCAUCUAAACAACAUCUGUAGAUUGACAGCAGAGUAUGUAUUCUUUACAGUUGCAUGUGGAAUAUUCACCAUGAUAAACAAUAUUCUGGAUAAACUAAAUCUUCAUAAAUGUAAAAGAACUAAAAUGCCAAGAAUUUUCCUUACCAGAAUUGAAUUAAAUUAGAAAAAAGUAACAAAGAUAUUUAGCAAGUCCACAAAUACUUAAAAAUUAAACAACUGACAUGUAAUCAAACUGACAUGAGUCAAACAGGAAGUCUCAAAUGAAAUUGGAGGAUAUUUUCAACUGAACAAAAGUGGAAAUACAGGAUACUUAUUAAUUUAUAAGAUAUAGCCACAGCAGUACCAAGAGGGAAAUUCUUUUUUUUUUUUUUUUUUAAGAUUGUAUUAAUUUGUUAGAGAGAGCCAGAGAGGCACAAACGGGGAGUGGUAGGCAGAGGGAGAAGCCAGUUCCUGGCUGAGCGAGGUGCCUGACACGGGACUUGAUCCCGGGGUCCUGGGAUCAUAACCUAAGUGAAGGCAGACACUUAAUGGACUGGGCUGCCCAGGCAUCUCCCAAGAGGGAAAUUUUUAGCAACCAAAUGGGUUGGUAUCAGAGUAAGUGUAAUAUGGUCAAGAUCUUCACCACCACCCAGGCUAACCAGGCCACACUCUUUUCUAUGGUGAAUAUAGAGGGCAAAUGAGCAGUAAAGAGAUAUUCCUACCUCUCCCAGCCAGUUAGGUAUAAAAAGGAGGCUGGUAGGGUGCCAGAACUACCACUCACACAUAAUAGGAGGACUCCUUCAUCCCCCUGUCAGUGGAGACUGAAUCUCUCACCUGCACAAGAUGGCACACCCCCUUCCCAUGUGAGUGGAGUCAGAGAAUGCCAGCUUAAACAAGGUUUAAAUAUGAUUUAAAUCUUAACACAAAAUGUUCACACUUUAACUAAAAAUCCAUCAUGAUACCAAAAACCAGGAAAAUCUCAAAAUGAGUGAAAAAAAGAUAUUCAAAAGAGUAUCAAGAUGACAGAGAUGUUAGAAUUGUCUCAUAAAUACCUCAAACUUCAUAAAAAUGCCUGAAACAAAUAUA